UACAGAGGGUGCGAGCGUUAAUCGGAAUUACUGGGCGUAAAGCGCGCGUAGGCGGCUUUGCAAGUCGAGUGUGAAAUCCCCAGGCUUAACCUGGGAACUGCAUUCGAGACUGCAUAGCUAGAGUAUGGGAGAGGGAAGUGGAAUUUCAGGUGUAGCGGUGAAAUUCGUAGAUAUUCGGAAGAACACCAGUGGCGAAGGCGACUUACUGGACACAUAUUGACGCUGAGGUGCGAAAGCGUGGGGAGCAAACAGG
rnacentral:rRNA from 1 species